GUGCUGUUCAGUUGAUCAUUCAUAUGUGGUUACUUGAGUUUAUUAGAUGUGAAAACAACAGCGGUAAAGGACCAGUAGCGAAGAAAGCUAAAGCAAAUAAGCUGCCUACUCAGUCUUGGAAAACAGAGACUGAUGCUGCAUGGCUCUCUGAGAUUCCUUCCUGUACAUGAUCCUGAACCACACCUAAGAUGCAUACACAGGGCUUUUACAAACCUUACACCCUUUAUUAUCUUACACUUCAUAUUUACAUUGUUGAUUUUGCCCUAAAUGUGUAUUCUGUACACAAUGUUUCAUCUGUAAAUUCAAGGGCAUGCCUUAAGUUAUAUAUAAAGUGUAUAUAAGUAACUUUUUCAGUAAAUUUGCUAAAAAGAGAUAAAAGACGGUUGUAAACACUAGCGCUGUCUAUAACAACAGGCUACCGCAGAAAUUCCAUUAUAAAUACUGAGGUAAAAAUAAAUGGUCAUAUUUUAAAGACA